CUACGGGGUGCUGCAGUGGGGAAUAUUGGACAAUGGACGAAAGUCUGAUCCAGCCAUACCGCGUGUGUGAAGAAGGCCUUCGGGUUGUAAAGCACCUUCAGUUGGGAGGAAGAUUAAGUAGUUAAUACCUGCUUAGUUUGACGUUACCUUCAGAAGAAGCACCGGCUAACUCUGUGCCAGCAGCCGCGGUAAUACGGAGGGUGCAAGCGUUAGUCGGAAUUACUGGGCGUAAAGCGCGCGUAGGCGGAUUGGUAAGUCAGGUGUGAAAGCCCUGGGCUCAACCUAGGAACUGCAUCUGAUACUGGUAGUCUAGAGUGUAGUAGAGGGAAGGGGAAUUCCAGGUGUAGCAGUGAAAUGCGUAGAUAUCUGGAGGAACAUCAGUGGCGAAGGCGCCGUCCUGGACGAAAACUGACGCUGAGGUGCGAAAGCGUGGGUAGCGAACGGGAUUAGAUACCCGUGUAGUC
rnacentral:rRNA from 1 species